rnacentral:rRNA from 1 species
GUCCACGCCGUAAACGAUGGGCGCUAGGUGUGGGAGGUGUCGACUCCUUCCGUGCCGCAGCUAACGCAUUAAGCGCCCCGCCUGGGGAGUACGGCCGCAAGGCUAAAACUCAAAGGAAUUGACGGGGGCCCGCACAAGCAGCGGAGCAUGUGGUUUAAUUGGAUGCAACGCCAAGAACCUUACCAAGGCUUGACAUGGUCGAGAAAGCCGGAGAAAUUCGGUCCUCCUUCGGGACUCGAUCACAGGUGGUGCAUGGCUGUCGU